GUCUACGGCCAUACCACCCUGAACGCGCCCGAUCUCGUCUGAUCUCGGAAGCUAAGCAGGGUCGGGCCUGGUUAGUACUUGGAUGGGAGCAAUACUAGACCCUGGCAACAAGAUU
ensembl:rRNA 5S_rRNA 5S ribosomal RNA